UACGUAGGGUGCGAGCGUUAAUCGGAAUUACUGGGCGUAAAGCGUGCGCAGGCGGUUUGCUAAGACAGGUGUGAAAUCCCCGGGCUUAACCUGGGAACUGCGCUUGUAACUGGCAAGCUAGAGUGUGGCAGAGGGGGGUGGAAUUCCAGGUGUAGCAGUGAAAUGCGUAGAGAUCAGCAGGAACACCCGUGGCGAAGGCGGCCCCCUGGGCCGUACCUGACGCUGAGGCGCGAAGGCUAGGGGAGCGAACGGG
rnacentral:rRNA from 1 species